CCUACGGGGGGCAGCAGUGGGGAAUCUUGCGCAAUGGGCGAAAGCCUGACGCAGCCAUGCCGCGUGAAUGAUGAAGGUCUUAGGAUUGUAAAAUUCUUUCGCCGGGGACGAUAAUGACGGUACCCGGAGAAGAAGCCCCGGCUAACUUCGUGCCAGCAGCCGCGGUAAUACGAAGGGGGCUAGCGUUGCUCGGAAUUACUGGGCGUAAAGGGAGCGUAGGCAGACUGUUUAGUCAGAGGUGAAAGCCCAGGGCUCAACCUUGGAAUUGCCUUUGAUACUGGCAGUCUUGAGUACGGAAGAGGUAUGUGGAACUCCGAGUGUAGAGGUGAAAUUCGUAGAUAUUCGGAAGAACACCAGUGGCGAAGGCGACAUACUGGUCCGUUACUGACGCUGAGGCUCGAAAGCGUGGGGAGCAAACAGGAUUAGAUACCCCAGUAGUCC
rnacentral:rRNA from 1 species